GGGUCGUUAGCUCAGUUGGUAGAGCAGUUGACUUUUAAUCAAUUGGUCGCAGGUUCGAUCCUGCACGACCACC
rnacentral:tRNA from 1 species